CUGCACAUUCAUUGGCUAUAUUGAAACUAUACUACAUAUUGUUUUAGUACAUCAGAUUAAAGAGGGGGUGUACAUCAAAACUCAGAAGCGACACAAUAACCUGAAUUCACAAACAACUACGUAUGGUUAAAAGGUGUUAAAACUGUGACAUGUAAGAGCACACACUUUUUUCUUCAUGAUCUUGCAUUUAAUGAGCAAGCAGGGCUCUGGUCAGCAUCUAAAGCUGUGAGGGGGUAUGUUGGCACUCACAACAGGAGCAGAGGUGAAGGACUGUUAGGGAGACAGAUGAAAGCAAACUCAAGUAUGGAGUCCAUGUCAUGAGGGUAAUCACAAAUCAGAGUGGAAAGAAUAGGAGGGAGGGGUAAUUAUACAGAUGGAAAGUGGGUGAUUAAACAGUACACAGCAAACCAUGUAGCUCAGCGAUCAGUAAUAGACUGCAUUGCUGGACAGAGAGCCCAGUGCAUUAGUGACAAGUACUGAUAGAGAGAGAGAGAGAGACAGAGGAGAGAGAGAGAGAGAGAGAGAGCGAGAGGAGAGAGAGAGAGAUGAGAGAGAGAGAGAGAGAAGAGAGAGGCACCAGGAUUAUAUAUAAUAUAAUCCACUACUGCCGGACACACAUAGAGGGGGGACCGACGAUAGCAUCCGGAACAGUGGUGUAACUGCCAGUGCUGCCCCAGUGCUACCAGGAGACGGAAGAAUGUCUGGUUUCAGAGUGCUGUUGCUGCUGCUCUGCGUCUCUGGCUCCCAGCUCCCCUGGUGCGCUCGCAGUCCCCAUCGGGCCUUCUCACUUGUGUGGUCCUGAUCUGGCGGACGCCUUGUAUUUGAUCUGUGACAUAUCAUGGCUUCCAAAGAGGCGUGCGGAGGCCAGAGUUGUCCUGGAUCAUAGCAGAGGAAGACAAAAUUCACCAAUGAGCAUUUUUGAGAAGUGCUGUGGCUCAGCCUGUGAUAUUCAUGUCUUGCAGGAAUAUUGUGAAAACAUACAAUAGGUGUUGAUAUUUGGAUUAAUGCCAUAAUAAAUGCCAAUGCUAAACCUGCUAACUGUUGCUG
rnacentral:lncRNA from 1 species